GAUGAACGCUGGCGGCGUGCCUAAUACAUGCAAGUCGAGCGAACAGAUGAGGAGCUUGCUCCUCUGACGUUAGCGGCGGACGGGUGAGUAACACGUGGAUAACCUACCUAUAAGACUGGGAUAACUUCGGGAAACCGGAGCUAAUACCGGAUAAUAUAUUGAACCGCAUGGUUCAAUAGUGAAAGACGGUUUUGCUGUCACUUAUAGAUGGAUCCGCGCCGCAUUAGCUAGUUGGUAAGGUAACGGCUUACCAAGGCAACGAUGCGUAGCCGACCUGAGAGGGUGAUCGGCCACACGGGAACUGAGACACGGUCCAGACUCCGACGGGAAGCAGCAGUAGGGAAUCUUCCGCGAUGGGCGAGAGCCUGACGGAGCAACGCCGCGUGAGUGAUGAAGGUCUUCGGAUCGUAAAACUCUGUUAUUAGGGAAGAACAAAUGUGUAAGUAACUAUGCACGUCUUGACGGUACCUAAUCAGAAAGCCACGGCUAACUACGUG
rnacentral:rRNA from 1 species